rnacentral:rRNA from 1 species
GAUGAACGCUGGCGGCGUGCCUAAUACAUGCAAGUAGAACGCUGAAGCUUGGUGCUUGCACCGAGCGGAUGAGUUGCGAACGGGUGAGUAACGCGUAGGUAACCUGCCUCUUAGCGGGGGAUAACUAUUGGAAACGAUAGCUAAUACCGCAUAAAAGUCGACAUCGCAUGAUGUUGACUUGAAAGGUGCAAUUGCAUCACUAAGAGAUGGACCUGCGUUGUAUUAGCUAGUUGGUGAGGUAACGGCUCACCAAGGCGACGAUACAUAGCCGACCUGAGAGGGUGAUCGGCCACACUGGGACUGAGACACGGCCCAGACGCCUACGGGAGGCAGCAGUAGGGAAUCUUCGGCAAUGGGGGCAAACCUGACCGAGCAACGCCGCGGGAGUGAAGAAGGUUUUCGGAUCGUAAAGCUCUGUUGUAAGAGAAGAACGAGUGUGAGAGUGGAAAGUUCACACUGUGACGGUAACUUACCAGAAAGGGACGGCUAACUACGUG